AGGGGUUUCCAGGUCGUGAUGGUGCUGAGGGGCCACAAGGAACGCCUGGGAAGACGGGAGAAGAUGGUGAGCCCGGGUAUCCAGGAUCACAGGGUCCUCAAGGAGCGAAGGGCGAGGCAGGCACAGGAGAAAAAGGAGAAAGAGGCAUGGAUGGACUUCAAGGAUUUAGGGGAGACAAAGGAGAAAUAGGAGAGCAAGGACCACAGGGAUCGACGGGUUAUCCUGGUGAAAAAGGCGACGCAGGCUCCUCAGACAUCAUCGACUUCAAUGGGAAGCUUCUAGAUGCUUUCCAGGCCAUCAACACCAUCAGUGUUUCGGUAAACUGCUGUUGUUU